rnacentral:rRNA from 1 species
AGUGAACGCUGGCGGUAGGCCUAACACAUGCAAGUCGAACGGCAGCACAGUAAGAGCUUGCUCUUACGGGUGGCGAGUGGCGGACGGGUGAGGAAUACAUCGGAAUCUACUUUUUCGUGGGGGAUAACGUAGGGAAACUUACGCUAAUACCGCAUACGACCUACGGGUGAAAGCAGGGGAUCUUCGGACCUUGCGCGAUUGAAUGAGCCGAUGUCGGAUUAGCUAGUUGGCGGGCUAAUGGCCCACCAUGGCGACGAUCGGGAGCUGGUCUGAGAGGAUGGUAGGCGGCACUGGAACUGAGCCGCGGACCUGAGUACUGCGGGAGGCAGCAGUGUGGAAUGGGAGACAGUGGUGGGGAACCUGAUACAAUCGGCCGGCGUGUGAGAAAGAGACCCUGCGUUUGUGAAGACGUCUUGUUGGUAAAGAAAAGCAGCCGGUUGUGACGACGCGGGAGUGACGGUACCGAAAGAAUAAGCACCGGCUAACUACGUG